rnacentral:rRNA from 1 species
AUUGAACGCUGGCGGCAGGCCUAACACAUGCAAGUCGAACGGUAGCACAGAGAGCUUGCUCUCGGGUGACGAGUGGCGGACGGGUGAGUAAUGUCUGGGAAACUGCCCGAUGGAGGGAGAUAACUACUGGAAACGGUAGCUAAUACCGCAUAACGUCGCAAGACCAAAGUGGGGGACCUUCGGGCCUCACACCAUCGGAUGUGCCCAGAUGGGAUUAGCUAGUAGGUGGGAUAAUGGCUCACCUAGGCGACGAUCCCUAGCUGGUCUGAGAGGAUGACCAGCCACACUGGAACAGAGACACGGUCCAGACUCCUACGGGAGGCAGCAGUGGGGAAUAUUGCACAAUGGGCGCAAGCCUGAUGCAGCCAUGCCGCGUGUAUGAAGAAGGCCUUCGGGUUGUAAAGUACUUUCAGCGGGGAGGAAGGCGGUGAAGUUAAUAGCUUCACCGAUUGACGUUACCCGCAGAAGAAGUACCGGCUAACUCCGUGCCAGCCGCCGCAGUAA